rnacentral:rRNA from 1 species
CCUACGGGAGGCAGCAGUGGGGAAUAUUGCACAAUGGGCGCAAGCCUGAUGCAGCCAUGCCGCGUGUAUGAACGUAGGCCUUCGGGUUGUAAAGUACUUUCAGCGAGGAGGAAGGUGCUGUGGUUAAUAACCGCAGCAAUUGUACGUUACUCGCAAAAGA